rnacentral:tRNA from 1 species
GUUUCUAUAGUUGAAUUACAACGAUGGUUUUUCAUAUCAUUAGUCCUGGUUAAAAUCCGGGUGGAAAUU